rnacentral:rRNA from 1 species
CCUACGGGUGGCAGCAGUGAGGAAUAUUGGGCAAUGGAGGCAACUCUGACCCAGCCAUGCCGCGUGAGUGAAGAAGGUUUUCGGAUUGUAAAGCUCUUUCGGAUGUGACGUUGAUGACGGUAGCAUCUAAAGAAGCCCCGGCUAACUCCGUGACAGCAGCCGCGGUAAUACGGAGGAUGCGAGCGUUAUACGGAUUUAGUGGGUUUAAAGGGUGCGCAGGCGGAAGAUCAAGUCAGCGGUAAACUUUAGAGGCUCAACCUCUUCGAGCCGUUGAAACUGGUUUUCUUGAGUGAGCGAGAAGUAUGCGGAAUGCGUGGUGUAGCGGUGAAAUGCAUAGAUAUCACGCAGAACUCCGAUUGCGAAGGCAGCAGACCGGCGCUCAACUGACGCUCAUGCACGAAAGUGUGGGUAUCGAACAGGAUUAGAUACCCUGGUAGUC